CUAGGCAGAAGGAGGCGUUAAGGCCUGGGCUCCCUCGGGGCGCUGUCCCGCCGUUACCGGUAACGGCGUGUGUCCGACGCGGUGGCGGAGGCGGGCCGGCGGGCGGGCUCCGCGCCUGGCUCGGGCCCCCCCGUCCUCUGCGAGCCGCCAACCUUCCACCCCUCUCCCGUCCCCUCGGGAGGUACGGCCUCUGCAGCAACCAGUCCCGCAGUUGAUGAUAAACACACAUCUUAAAGCCCCCGGUACUGAAAUCGGAGGGUUUUGUAAGACUUUCAGCUUCCCUAAAAAAAAAGAAUACCCAAAUAAAACCUUUGUAAUUUUCCUCUGUGGAAAAAAGUUCGGAAACUAGAUAGGAACAGCUCAGAAAUCAGCAAAUAGAUACAACACCCAAACUUUGCUCAAUCGCACCUCGCGUUUGUUCAUCUAAAAUAGAUUAACUGGGAAGCUAUGACUUAGCUUCGGUUGGGACAGUUUGUACUCCUGUACUCCUGCAGUUACCUGUUUUACAGACAUCACACAAAUGCAGUUUACUGGGACAGGGGAGAAGAGAAGUAGGUAAUCAAACUGACUUUACACCCUUGUGAAGGAGGCUGGGGAUAAUGACGUAAUAACAUAUGACACAGUGGAUCCUGGAAGUGCUGCAAGAGAGGCACCAUGUCCUCCUCCCCCCCAAAAAGCAGCAGUUGUGCAGAGGUCCACAGCAGCACUGCCUCACAACCGCUCAGGCCAUGAACAUGGAAAAGACCUGCUGCAACCACCCUGAGAUGGGCAGCUCAACUCUCAAAGCAUCUGGCUGGAUCCAAUUCACAUAGCAAAGUUACCAAAGAAUGGAGGACUUGGUUUCGUAUCAAGUCUAACUUCAAGCAUGUAAAGCAUCAUGUAGAAAUUAGGUCACGAAACACUGGGGGAAAAGCAUUUUGCUCUUACGAAGAACUUCUUAGGAUCUUUCUGGCAACGAAGAUUCUGGCUACCUCUCAGCAGCCAUGUGAUUCGGCCCCCAUAGGGUGAGAAGGCUUUGCUGGACUCCUGCUCCACAGUGAUUCAGAGGGAGCCUUCCAGCACCGUUUGUAAUGGGCCAUAGUUUGGAGUUUCAUGAAAAGUCUCCAAAUCUCGUCCAAUGCGGACCAAGGUGGAGAAGUAAAGCUAUUUUUCAGCACAGUCAAUUAAAUAUUGCUUCCAGACACACAUUAUACACACAAGAUUUUUUUUUUCCACAGGGGUUCAUUACAAACAAUUCUUUCCUAAUUCCAUUUUUCUUGGUGUUUUUAUGUCUGGUGAAUACCAAGCUUCAAAUCCCUGGGGCACUUCUGAUGAAGACCCUGACCCAAAGCACACUGAGGUCUGCCUGCUGCACCCUGGGGGGCUUCCCUCACACCUAACAACUCCCUUGCUUCUUUCUCACUGCCUGGAGAAUGUGCUUUUUAACCUGUGGUUUGUUUACUCACCAAAAAAAAAAAAGAAAGAAAAAGGAGAUUUUCAAACAUAUUUUGGCUGUCCAUUAGAUCUGCUUCACUACAGCAGCUCAGUUUAGUCUUUCUUAUUUGCAGGAUAUUAUUUGUGUUGAGGAGUACGUUACUAAUUUCAUCCUCACACAUUAAAACAAAUGUGCUUGCAAAAUUCUUCAGUGCAGUUAUUUUCUCUCAUCAGCGUCUGUGUCUAUAAGCACCACGUGUCAGGACCCCGUCUACAGUUUCCCACUCAAGUACUGACAAAUACCCCAGGGUGCUGGCAAUCCUGUUCUGUUUCCCUGGGACCCAGCAUUCUUUCUUAUAAAUGUGAAACCUGUGACACAUCAAUUUUGAAGGAUAUUGUCAUCUUGGAAACUGAAAAAAAUACUUGCUCCUAAACAUUUUGUACCUAGCAUUAUUAUAAAUUAUGCUUGAAACCUCAACCGCAGCAGCAUGUGUCCUUAUUUGACUUCCACUUUCCUUUUGUUCCU